GCCGGGCGUUGUGGCGGGCGCCUGUGGUCCCAGCUACUUGGGAGGUGGAGGCAAGAGACUCGCUUGAGCCCAGGAGUUGGGGGUUGCUGUGAGCUGUAAUGCCAUGGCACUCUGCCCAGGGGGACAGCUUGAGGCUCUGUCUCAAAAAAAAAAAAAAAAGAGACAGAGUAUCAUUGUUACCCUCAGUAAAGUGCCAUGGCGUCACAGCUCAGAGCAAUCUCCAGUUCUUGGGCUUAGGUGAUUCUCUUGC
rnacentral:sRNA from 1 species